rnacentral:lncRNA from 1 species
GUCAGGUCAAGUUUUCUAACUCUUGAAAAUAUUUUUUUUCUAUUUUUUUCUUAUAUUUUUGUAUUAAAUGUUUUAAUCUUCCUUGGUAUCGAAUUUGAAGUCUAUCCUGUCAAUAGUAAAACAAUUUGUAGCUGUUUCAUAUCGGUCAGGACAUUAGUAGUUUCAAAGUCAAGUUGGUCAGGUCAAGUUUUCUAACUCUUAUAAAUAUCUU